CCACAGUCUUCCCAGACAGGCAUGUAAUUUACACCAAUCUCAUCUGCAGCAUCGGAGGCGUGAAAUACUAACACUUGACACACAAACGAAAAACUACAACUGAAAUUAAAAACAAAGCCGGAGGGCCAGAUGGAUGACAAUUGUGUUAUCUGAACCCUCAUAGAUAUUUCUCCUUAGGACUUCAGAGAUACAGACCCCAUCAGGAUUCACUGCUGUCCACUGUGUGUUUGUUGGUCACCAGAGAGGGUUGGUCCAUGCUUCAAAGCUACUGAACGUAUUUUCUCUCAUUCCCUUAUGCAUUCCAAUACAUGCAAAACACUUCCAGCAUCCAUGGCCACAGAUUAUUUCUCUCUCCUCUUGGAAUAUGAAAAACUGAACUGGCUUAACACCUGUCCUCAACAGAUUGGAGUUGCAGUGUCUCCCACACAAGAGACAUAGGGAGCAGAGCUGGGGAGUGGAACAAACAGAAUAUGAAGACAGAAUGCAACAACCUAGAUGGGAUAAGAAACCAGGAAGCCGUCCAACAUGCAGAGAAGCAAGGGUACUCUCCAUUGGAUGCCAUGAAAGAUGCAAGCAUGGCCUACACUGGCAGCAGAAACCAAUGGGAAGUCAGUUGUUUCCAUGUGAGGUUUUCACUGUUGGCCUCCCAGGGCUCCAGUGUUUUUCAAAAGUGCACAGUAGAUGGAAAUCUAACAGGUUUCGCUGUGCUUUCCAUGAAGCAGCAAUAAUGAGGGGAGUUGCACCUGUAACUCCACUGUCUGCCACACAUCUUGUACAAGCAUAGAGGCCCUGCAAGAACAAAAAGUUGGCAACCACAUACCUCUGUGAACCUACUCUACAACUGAUGCUGAUUGAUAACUGCUGUGACUGAGCUGUGUCUCUGUUUUGAUUAUGGCUAGCUGAUUCC